rnacentral:rRNA from 1 species
UACGUAGGGGCCGAGCGUUGUCCGGAGUUAUUGGGCGUAAAGCGCGCGCAGGCGGCCUCGCGCGCCCGACGUGAAAGCCCCCGGCUUAACCGGGGAGGGUCGUUGGGGACGGCGGGGCUUGAGGGCGGGAGAGGUCGGUGGAAUUCCCGGUGUAGUGGUGAAAUGCGUAGAGAUCGGGAGGAACACCUGUGGCGAAGGCGGCCGACUGGGCCGAACCUGACGCUGAGGCGCGAAGGCGUGGGGAGCGAACGGG